rnacentral:rRNA from 1 species
UACGGGGGGGGGCAAGCGUUGUUCGGAAUUACUGGGCGUAAAGGGCUCGUAGGCGGCCAACUAAGUCAGACGUGAAAUCCCUCGGCUUAACCGGGGAACUGCGUCUGAUACUGGAUGGCUUGAGUUUGGGAGAGGGAUGCGGAAUUCCAGGUGUAGCGGUGAAAUGCGUAGAUAUCUGGAGGAACACCGGUGGCGAAAGCGACUCACUGGACCGACACUGACGCUGAGGUGCGAAAGCUAGGGUAGCAAACGGG